rnacentral:rRNA from 1 species
CUGACGAGUGGCGGACGGGUGAGUAAAGGCUUGGGAAUCUAGUCUUAUGGAGGGGGAUAACUACGGGAAACUGUAGCUAAUACCGCGUAACAUCUUAGGAUUUAAAGUAGUGGGCUCUUCGGACCACACGCCAUAAGUUGAGCCCAAGUGGGAUUAGGUAGUUGGUGGGGUAAAGGCUACCAAGCUGACGAUCUCUAGCUGGUCUGAGAGGAUGGACCAGCCACACUGGAACUGAGACACGGUCCAG